ACACCUAUUGGAUUUAUAUAGUUGGCAGAGCAUGAGACUCUUCAUCUCAGGGUCGCGGGUUCGAGCCCCACAUGGGGCA